CCCAGACUCCUACGGGAGGCAGCAGUGAGGAAUAUUGGUCAAUGGCCGAAGGGCUGAACCAGCCAAGCCGCGUGAAGGAAUAAGGCCCUACGGGUCGUAAACUUCUUUAGUCAGGGAACAAAGGGUGCCACGCGUGGCGCUGUGAGUGUACCUGAAGAAUAAGCAUCGGCUAACUCCGUGCCAGCAGCCGCGGUAAUACGGAGGAUGCGAGCGUUAUCCGGAUUUAUUGGGUUUAAAGGGUGCGUAGGCGGGAUGCCAAGUCAGCGGUAAAAAGGCGGGGCUCAACGCCGUCGAGCCGUUGAAACUGGCGUUCUUGAGUGGGCGAGAAGUAUGCGGAAUGCGUGGUGUAGCGGUGAAAUGCAUAGAUAUCACGCAGAACUCCGAUUGCGAAGGCAGCAUACCGGCGCCCUACUGACGCUGAGGCACGAAAGCGUGGGUAUCGAACAGGAUUAGAUACCCGCGUAAA
rnacentral:rRNA from 1 species